CCGUCCAACUUGGACCUCGGUUCGCGGGUUCCUGGCCUCCUGGCAUGUUUUCUGCGCACGAUUCUCUAGGCAGCGGCUCUCGCGCUUUGCACUGCAGUGAAGUUAGGGAAGGCAGCGGACUGAGCCGCCCAGCCUCUGCCUCUCCGCGGAGCCGGCGGGUCGGCAGAGCCCUCACUGAACCCAGGUUGCAAACUAAUGGUGCAAGGUUGGAUCCAGACCAGAAAUGAAUUUUGAGUUGGGCAGCCAUCACCACUACCUAACUUUGG